CACCUAAAUAAUUCUUCCCAAGACAUUCUUUUUUUUUUACAGCACAGGAAGCAGCUCAAGGGUAACAAAAAGAAAGUGUAGGGAAAAAAAAGCCCGCUAAUUGGUGCUCCCACAAGGCAAAAAGUAAAGAGUGCCCAAAAGAGAGGUCAAUUUUGGAUGGAGAGAUGCCUUGAUACACUCUCCCACAAGGCAAAAAGUAGAGCAGCCAGAAGAGAGGUCAGUUUCAGGUGGAGAGAUGCCUUGAUACACUCUCCCACAAGGCAAAAAGUAGAGCAGCCAGAAGAGAGGUCAGUUUCAGGUGGAGAGAUGCCUUGAUACACUCUCCCACAAGGCAAAAAGUAGAGCAGCCAAAAGAGAGGUCAGUUUCAGGUGGAGAGAUACCUUGAUACACUCUCCCACAAGGCAAAAAGUAGAGCAGCCAAAAGAGAGGUCAGUUUCAGGUGGAGAGAUACCUUGAUACACU